AUAACCAAAGAACUCCAAAUAACAGCUGAUAAUCAACCUCCUUGUAGUCUUAAGACUAACAAAACUUCUGUAGAUUGGUCCCAAAACAUCUGUUCAUAUUCCCAGUCUUUUUGAAAUGAUUAUUCCAUCUACCUUCUUACAGAAUCCAGUUGACCUGCAGAGUAGAAGAAGCUUCUUGAUAGGCCAGAUUCUCCCUAUAUGUUGUUCAAUUUAGAUCCAUCAACAUGAAUACAAUGCCAAGAAGUUUACUAACUUCUCAAAUUUCAUAAUUACAAAUGGACUUAAAUAAUAGCUUGAUUCCAGAACACUUCUGGAAAUUGAACCAGUGCAUAUAUAUAUAUAUAUAUAUAUAUAUAUAUAUAUAUAUAUAUAUAUAUAUAUAUAUAUAUAUAUANNNNNNNNNNNNNNNNNNNNAUAUAUAUAUAUAUAUAUAUAUAUAUAUAUAUAUAUAUAUAUAUAUAUAUAUAUAUAUAUAUAUAUAUAUAUAUAUAUACACACACAUAUUCUAUGCUUCACCUUUUCACAGAUACUAUAUUGUUUACAGAUUACAAUUUCAGUAUUCACUUUGUACUUCUAUUCUAAUUGUUUCUUGGCCAGUUUCUACAGAGAAAAGACUGAAACCUAUCUUUUUUAUCACUAACAAUCAUUGAGGUGAUCAAGGCAUUCUACAGAAAAUUUGCAGCAAAGUGAAACUGCAUUCGAGAUGAGCAUUGUGUCUUUACAUCCUCAAAACCUGAAGGUUGUCAUUAACUAAAACCUUAAGCCAUAACUAGGAUUUAUAAUGCCCACUUCAAGAAUCAUUUGCCAAAUAUUCCUAUGACAUUAAGGCACCAUCUAUGGUGCCUGUAAAAGACCAGAUAAAUAUUUACCAAUUGAUCAUAGUUGAUAGAUGGUUACACAUCAUUAGAGAUGCUGUGUUGUUUCACAAUACUCCAAGGGACAUAAUGGAUCAUACUAUCAUUUCUAGACUGUAAUAGAACUAUCCUUGUAUCCAUUGUAAAUCUAUCCUACUUGUUCCAUCUGAUGGUGUUCGAGAGGUCUUUACAUGAAUCUUCAGAUUUAUUCUCCACCCUAGCCUCUAAUAUAACCAAGUUCUCCACAAAGACCUUGGUUUGGGAUAUUGAGAUAAUAAAAGGGUUAGCCAAAAUUAAACACUCAUUUCUCAUAUUUACCAAAUAAGUUAUACAAAAUGGGCACUCAAAGGAUUAAAAUAUCAGUGUAGUAUUGAUAUUGGUCAAUGAUCAGACUGGUGUGGUACUGUUACCAGUUAGCAUAUGACACUCGGUACAAGUUGGUAUGCAGUCAGACUCAAGGUUAAUCAUUAAAAUAUAAUGAAUAAAACAUCAAACCUAUACCAGCCAACACCUUAGAAUGGCAAAGCAUGCUCAAGGUUAACCUUGUGAACCAUGCGAACGCAAGCUGGCUAGCACUAGGUUUAAGGAUCAGUGACAUCCUUUCUAGUAACUCACUUUCCGCCUCCAGCAGCCAAACAUACAAUCCAACAGAUUGAGUGGCAAUCACAUUGCAUUGGCAUGCAAGAACACCAUCUCCACCAGGCGAUGCAUCAAUUGCCGCCUCAAGUUCAAGGUUCUCAAGCGUCACUACCAUUGGAUGCUCAGCAUACACCUGUGCACCCCCCAUUACCUGCUUCGGGUAAAUAAAUAGCACACCAUGGAGUGAGGUGUGUUGAUGCAACAUGUGACAAAGUGCCAAGCUAACCAAAUUGCAACAUGGUAACAUGCGACACUUAGGAGUCUUCUUACUGUAACUUGCGCUAGGUGAAUGCACCCCUUUUACAUCAACAAUAUCAUCAAUUUAAGUCUCUCACUUGAGUUUGUACAAUCAAAUUAUAGGUGUUUAGUCUAAAUGACAAAGAUCACAGCAUUUCUUGGUCCGAGACAUCUCAGAAAAGCCUUUUGACAUUUUUGAGGUGUGUGCAUAUAGCUGUCUUAGGAUUGUUGGAUGAGAAUAUACUAUAUGCAAAUUUGAGAUGUAGCGUGUUAGCUAUUGACAGAAAUACCACUUGACUUAACCCAAAUAUAUAUCCAAUUAUAUUAGUACAAAAAGUGUUACUCAUGGACAACAAAGUGUCUGAGACCUUAAGGGUUUCAUGACAUUCCAGCAAUGGUUCAUAUGAUUGACCUCUGUGUGAACCUAUGAACCAACUUGCAAAAUCCUGAAGGCAAAAACAUGCCAUUUAACAAUUCAUGUUGGAGGGGAAUUACUGUCCUCAAAAUUCUACGGUUAGGGAAUAUAUUACUUUCACAUAUUCAUCUUUCAUCUUGUUAUGGAUAACUUGAAAUCAUAUUCUUUUGCAGGGAUCAGGUUAAAUUAAUUAACAAUUGAAGAUCUAUCACCAAUGAGUUAUCGAGGUUAAGACAAUAGUCCUAUAUCUCGGAUAUUUCAAGACAAUAAUCUACACUACAAUGGAAUUUGCCAAUUACAUAACUGGAAUUUUUUUCUAAUUGAUAUGAUUUCUGAGUUAUUCUUGUUUUUUAAUACUGUCAAAACUUUUCCUGUCUACUGGAUAUAAAUUGGUCCCUCAAUCUACUAGCAUUUCAUAAAAGCAUAAUAGAAUAACCUCUGGUUAAGAGACAGCAUCUACACCUCAAGCAUUGAAAGACAGCAAUAACUCCUAUGGUGGGUGGAGAACACAAAAUUUACAAUUUUACCUUUUUCUAGUUGACCUUAGACGCAACUGAUCUAACUUCCAACAAUGAAAUUUUUUAUUUUUCAAUAAUUUGUAUUGAGCCCUAUCUAUUAGCAUCAAAUAUUUCAAUAUCAGAAUUACACACUUUGAAUUGACUUAGCAAUUAAGGUACAUACUAAAUUGACGUAGCUGCAUAACGUACCUAAUUUAAUUUGACUCAGUGGCAUAGUUAAGGUACAUAUUUUGAAUUGACUUAGCAGAAGCAAUGUGAAAAUACACAUAAAAUGGGAAGACUUCCAUAGUUCCAUCCUGAAAGCAACUAAGCAUGACUUGAGGUAAAAUAGUUUAGUAUGUUUUAUUUUAAUAGGCACAAUCACCAUCCUUGUUCCAUGAGAAAUAGAGAUUGAACGAAUUAUAAACCUUGAAUCUAAAUUUGAAUUUGCAACAUUACAUAGACAAAAGCCUCUUCUUUUUACAAGUGCUGGUAAAUGUGAAAAACUGAAAAAAUGGGUGUUCUCAUCCUUAAUGCAUAAUUGAUUAAACACACUAAUGCAUUUAUCUUAGAAACCUUUCCAAGUAAAACAAGGGUAGGUGACAAGUUUAAUAAAUCGAGCAUAAAUUCAAUCAAGGGUGUUGUAUGAAUAGACAACUAUGCUAACUAUAGGUACUAAUGUCUGGUUAACUCAACCAAGAUCUGAUUGGUUAGAACCCAAAAUUCUCGAGAAAUCAAUAAUCAUCAGGAGUUGGCAAAAGUAUCAGCCAAUGUAGAGGCUAGAUCCAUGACUCAAGAAACAGGGAACCAUCCAGAACCAACUAGUGUUCACUGCUUUCAGCCAACUGAAUAAUUCUAGGUCAACUUUGACUAAUUCAUAUAGGGCUUGUAAUACCCAAGCUGGCUUGAGUCCAUUGAACUGGACCAGUAUCAAGCCGAGUCAGGGCUAAACCAUCUGGCCAUCGGGCCUCAACCGAGCCAGCUUAAUUGAGUCCAAUUAAGCUUUUUGAGCUUGAUUCACCUUGACUGCGUAACUCUUUUCAACCCAAAAGAGUGGACCAUAGAUAUAUCAUAAUACAUGUUCAAGAAUUUAUCUUGAGCCACAAGCAGAGCCCUCAAGGAGUUGCCCAUUCAUCACCUGAACCUCAAACCCUUGUAUACCCUUUGUACCACAUUUUCAGUACUGAUUCUGGCCUGGUUUUGAUCAAAUUUCAUCUGACCCAAUUUGAUCCACUGCCAAUCUGGUUCUUGAUUCCUCAAACAUUGCUUAUUGAAAAGUCAAAGAACCUAAGUUUAAAGGUAAAUUUGCCUUCAAAUUGAUAAAAAUCAAGACGUCUACAAAUUAAAGAAACAAUCUAUAAGUUUAAGCAAUAAGUUAUGAAUAAAAGUGAUAAAGUUUUAGCAAAUAAUCUAAUGAUGGUAAUAAUAUUUGACAUGAAGCAAUUUAGCAAUAGAACACAUUAUUCAUUUACCAUAAAGUUCAUGAUGUAGAUCAAAAAAGAUAUUUAGUCACAUGGACCUAUUUGAAUGAACACAUUUUUCCAGUUUGCCUAAAAAGUUAUUAUCAAAUUGGUUUUCUAAAUCUGACCCAUCUUUCUUUUCCAUUAACAAGCAGCAAAUUAUGCCUUAAUGGAAAAAAUCAUAACUAAUUGAACAAGAAGAAUAAUGGAGGACCAUAGUUAGUAGCACUAGACAAAUAUUACCUUUCUUCCAGCAUAGCUGACCCCUCCUCAAAUAAUUCCUCCACAGCGCCAACAGAAGAAAGUUUGUUAGGUU
rnacentral:lncRNA from 1 species